rnacentral:sRNA from 1 species
AGGCUGUGACAACAUCAACUCCUGUUAGAGGAGAGACAGUGGCGAAACUGAAAGUUGCGAUUAACGGUUUUGGAAGGAUUGGUAGGAACUUUCUUAGGUGUUGGCAUGGUCGUAAAGACUCUCCUCUCGAAGUUGUUGUACUUAACGACAGUGGUGGUGUCA